rnacentral:rRNA from 1 species
ACGCUCGACACCUACGGGAGUCAGCAGUCGGGAAUAUUGCGCAAUGGAGGAAACUCUGACGCAGUGACGCCGCGUGCAGGAAGAAGGUUUUCGGAUUGUAAACUGCUUUAGACAGGGAAGAAAAAAGACAGUACCUGUAGAAUAAGCUCCGGCUAACUACGUGCCAGCAGCCGACGGUAAUCUGAGGCGGGCUGGCGAAGGC